rnacentral:lncRNA from 1 species
AGCGUGUCUCAGACCAACUCAGAGCUGAGCGAUCAGGCGCAUCUGCUGGGGAAGUGGAGCUUAGCUUUUCUAGAAAAAUGGCAUCUUUCUGACCACCAAACAUGAGGCCCAGAUUUAGACCCUGGGACCCACCCGGAGAAGCCACCAGUAGGGUCCUGAGACAGCUGGACUCACUCUGGAGUCAGCGUGUAUUACCCACCCCUUUCAAGUGAGCAUCUCCAGCUGCCUUAUAAAUAUUAAUUAAAAGACGCAGCAUCGCAGAGGGGCUGGUGUAAUCAUCACCAUUCAACUGAAGAGGAGACGGAAGCCUCGCUGGCCUGGUGAGGAGACGGCCCUCCGGGAGCUGUCCAGACCACCGGACGACGGUCCGAAGCUCUCAAUCCAGGCUGGACAGGCGCCGAGCCUAUAACGUGCAUCGUGAGGCGUGUGCAGUUAUUACCCACGUUUACAGAUGGCAAGACCGAGAUCCAGAGUUUCUUUCCGGGUCAGAAAGUGUCAGAGGAGGGACUCAAAGGUUUUAGGAUUCCAAGGCUGCAGUGUCUUCACUGCUCCCGUGCCCGCUCCAGACAAUUCUUUACAUCUGCAUCCAGCUUCAUGGUUUACAAAGCACUUGAUAUUACAAAGCAUUGAAACACGCGUUACUUUAUUCACUCCGUACAAGAACUCGGCGAGGCAGGAAGUCCGGAGCUAACAAGCAAGCUCCACUUUACAGAUGAGGAAAUGGAGGCUCAGAGAGGAGGGAGUCACUUGCCUGUGUUCUUAGAGCGGCAACAGUUACUCACGUCUGCAUCAAUAUUUGUAGCUUGCAAAACGCUUUCUGGUUUUGGACGUUGCAGUAGCUCCAUGAGGUCAGGAGCCCUGGUGUUAUUAUUGUUGUUGUUAUUAUUACUAGUAGUGGUGUUCUCAGUAUUCCCAUGCUACACAUGAGUAAACUAAGAUUCGGAGAAAUUGAGAAAGAAGAUGAGAAAUGAGCAUUUGUUUGUCAGACAGAAAGCUGGGUCCUGUAGCUACGUUCUCUCACCGAACCCUAACAACCCUCAGGAAAAUGUUUCCAAAGGGUUUUCAUUCAUUCAUUCAUUCAUUCAUUCAUUUGGCAAAUGUUUACAGAGCACCUGCUAUGGAAUCUGAUACUGUUCUAGGCACAGGGAACGCAGCAGUGGAUGACAGGAAAUCCUUGCCCUCACUGAGCCUAUAUUCUUUUGGGUGUGGGUGGAACAGACCACAAAUAAAGAAGCAGAGAUACACCAUACCAAAUGGCACUCAACGCGCAGAAGAAAAAUAAAGCCGGAAUCAGAAGGUCUAGCAACUCUGGGAGUCUCCACCUCGCAUGGUGCGAUGGCCAGAGUUAAGUAGCGGCCACCUCUACGGACAGAACGCCACUCUCCAGCUUGCCACAUCACCCAGGAACCCCGCUGCAGGUGUACAUUCCCAGGAACUCCCAAGGCACUUGAGAUUUUGAUCCACAGUCGGAGCUGGAAGAAAGCGCGUCAAUCACGGGAUAAUUUAUGCAGCGUGAUAUGCCUUUAUUAUUCCACGCUGAGUCGGGGCUUCUACUGUCCAAUGAAGGUCAAAAGGAGGUAUGGCUUUUAUCUCUCCAGCAACUCUGGAAGCAUGGGGGGAGGGGGCGGACUCUCAGAGGCUUCCUCCUGAAAACAAACAGAUCCUCGCGGCGGCCCUGAAUAGCUUUCCUCAAUCAAAGCUGUAAAAGUCCGCGAGCAGCGGGGCCUCGCCCUGGGACUGGAGCGAACUAAUAAAGCGUUGAAUGGAGAGAGUGACCCCGAACUGGCAGAGGGGUCCCCGCUGGGCCUGGGCCCGCGCCUGCUGCCUCGCGGAGAAUCCAGAGGUCACGUGUCAUUAGUCAGUGUCUUACCGCGACCCUUUCAAAAUUAUCGAUAAAGGGGAAGGAGAUCCUUUCUGUUUCGAAUCCCCGAACGAUUUUCUUCUCUCUUUUCUUUCUUUUUUCACUGGUGGAAAGGCUACAUGGCAACAUCUUUUUCCUGUUUUCUUUCAGACGCGAGAAGAACUGGUUUGAAAUCAGGAGUUUCAUGCUUGGGGAGAAAUAAAGGUUGGGACCAGAUUCUUUUCUUUUUGAUGCAGUUUCUCAGUGAAGCCCCUGCUCUGAGAAGUCACUAGAUUUGGGUUCCCAUGAAAACUUGUCUUGUUUCAUCCUCGUCCUAAAGCCUGUCUCAACAGUUCUAAAAACUCCCGAGGCGUCUCUCUUCUCUCUGUCCUCAGUUUGGGUGAAGGCCGCCUGGGACCUCUGUAAAGACAGGAGGGGGCGCUGGAUCUCAAACAGCUGGGAGCCUCCACAAUCGCCUGUUCUCCCCAUGACUCAGUUUCCUCAUCCGUACACAACGGGCAGCGUCCUGGGCCCAGUGGGAAGUGACCUGGAUGACCUCAUUAGGGUCUGAGGAGCACUUUAAAGAGAUAAUCGGCCAUUACUCUAAUGGGAACAAUGAUGAUGAUAUUAUUUCCUUUAUUGUUUACUCAGCCCCAGCAGUUUACAGCUGAGGCCAACAGGUGGUUGUGGUCGCGUUAAUCUUUAAUCCAUUAGCCACGAUCGAUUCCAUGACAUUCCUGGGUUUAUAGGUAGUCGUUAUAUUGCUUUUUAUUUGUUGUAUAUUUUGUGAAUUAAUUAAGGGCCGCAUCAUACCUCAUCUGAAAAUGCCUGUUGCAAAGGCAGUCUUGAUGCAUGUGCAUGUGCUCUUAGUCAAAAUGACCCUUCGGAGUUCCUUAAAUCAUUCGUAAAGCACUGUAUAUGGGAUUAUGUGUGUAUAACACUGUAUAGUAAUAAACAUAGAGAGACAUAACAAAAACAGUAAGGGGCAGAUUGGAAUAAAUCCUAUUGCUUUGGACAUCAGAUGAAGCACCUGGCUGGUGUUGAGAAGGACAUGUUUUAUGAAUAUUUUGUACCUUUAAACCCUAGAAUCCUGCUCCUCAAGGCAAGAUGCUCAGAGGUGCCCCCACCCUAUUUAAAUCUCUCAUGUUAAAAUAGAAUUUGAAUAAGUUAAAUGCUCUUGUAAUGUGACCUCCAGGGUAACUAUUUUUUCCCACGGGCUCAUCUGUGAGUAUUGGGUUAUUUUAACUCCGAAUAAAUGAAUAGACCCACAUCUCAUUUGUCUCAAAUGAGCAGCCAGUCAGUCCCUCAGUGUUUGGUGGACACUCUCCACGUCUCACUGGGCUGUAAUUGGCCUUUCUGUCCUCGAGAAUUUAGGAACCCAGCAGAGGCUCCGGCUGGCUUGACGUCAGGCCCCCCUUGAGCUUCCAGUCAUCCUCAGAGGAUCCCUAAACGAAGGUCCCCAGCCAAGCUGCAGGGACUCAGUCCUUGUCCUGCCCUUCCUGGGCUUCUCCUGGCCUGAGAAAUGGGGCCCAAUUGGGUUUGUCCUGCCCAGAAACAAGACCCUGGUUUAUCACGUUGGUUUAGCGCAUGGAAAUUUCAGGUGUACCUCGUUAGAUUUCGUCUUCUCUAUAGACUGCAUGGAGUUCGCCAUCAAAAGUCUAGUUUCCAUCCACCACCAUACACAUGUGCCCCUUUUUUCAUUUCUUAUAACGAUUGGUUUAUUUUUUGUUAUUGUUUUUGAUUCUAUGGAUUCUUUUUAUCAUUGAUAAUUAGCUUUCAUGAUGAUGAUUCUUUCCAUUUUUACCAGCCUGGAUUAUUUACUGUCAUACAGGAGUGUGACAUAAAGGAAUGAUUAUUAAUUGUCCCUGACAAUGUAAGCAUCAACUCAAAUGAUGGCAAUGAUCACAUCACCAGUCUUAUCUUUCCUGUUCAUGUGCAGCGGGGAAGUUACACAUUUAUUCAUUCCUUUAUCUGAAUUUGUUUUCCUCAAAUCGCAAAACAAGGGGCAUCAAGUUGUGACGUGUCUCAUUUGGCUCUGCUCAGACUUUUUAAGAGGACACAGUUGCCAAGAGUAGGGGCUGGUGUCACCCGCUCUGUGCCCUGGCUUUCUCCCCGUGUAGCAUGUGGGUGAUUACCGUCUGUAUUUCACGGGCCUGUUAGGAGGCUUAAAUGGGACCCUGUAAAGCUCUUAGUACAAAAUGGUUCACAAGUGAUGCCCAUGGUUAGACAAGAGGUGAUACUUGGGCCUCAGUUUCUUCAUUAAUAAAAUGGAUGUGUUAGGGCCUGCCCUGUGGCUGAGUGGUCAAUUCGAAGGGCUGGGCUUCGGCAGCCUGGGUUUUCGCUGGUUUGGAUCCCGGGCACGGACAUGGCACUGCUCAUCAGGCCAUGCUGAAGCAGCGUCCCACAUAGCACAGCCAGGAGGACCUGCAGCUUGAAUAUACAACUAUGUCCUGGAGGGCUUUGAGGAGAAGAAGAAAAAAAAAAGCACAAAAAAAGAUUGGCAACAGAUGUUAGUUCAGGUGCCAAAAAGAAAUAAAAUGGAAGUGCUGACCCUCCCUGCCUGAAUCCUGUGGGGAUUUGGGGCUACCGAGUGGCGGGUAAAGUGUCCAGCGUUUGGUCAGUGCUGCCUCACUGCUGACUCCCGUCUCCUUCCCACUUGUUCACCUUGAACCCCAGGGAGCUUCUGUGAGAGGGAAAACAUAGCUUAGCCUGGCCCAGGGCGGAGGCCCCGCCCCACGAGGAGCCCUGAAACCUCAACCUGGCCAACAGAGCCAGGAAUGGAGCCAUGAACACACGGGGCCCAUCCCCUUAGGAGCAGAGAAGGCAGCCGGGUUCUUUCUAAGCUUUCUGCUGGGGACUCACAUUUUGUUAGCAUGGAGAUAAAUAACGCCAGAUAAGAGGCCUCUGGUUUUACAUCUGGGGCUGUAGGAACGUCCUCUGGGAGAGGAGGCAGGACGUUUCUUGCCAGGGCGAAUCCCAGCCCGGGAGGAGGCAGGCGGCGCCGCCUGCGGCUUCCUAGCUCAGUGGGGAGCAAGUUUUGACAACAGCAAUGCUAAUUGAUUAAAUGUUCUCAUCAGAGAUUACAGUGCAGAGAGUGAUCACAUUUUUAUUUCUGCAGAGUGGGGAGGGGCUUCCCUUCCUUUAAUAGCUCCGUUUAUCCGUGUAUAUUGUAACCCAAUGUACAAGGGGCCCUGAUUCGUUAUUCCUGGACCCUCAGGCUCAGUCACUCUCAUCUUAGAUAACAUGUUUACUAUAAACUACUUGGUGCAAUUGCCUUUGGUUUUCUGGGUUUGGUCGGAAUUUGAUCCUGCAGUGGACAGAGCACCGGACUUCAGAGUUGUAGGAUCGAACCCUGGUCCUGCCACGUAGCCGGUGUGUGGGUUUGGGAAGGCACUUGCAUUCUCUGCGUGGGUCUCGCUUUUCUUAUCCGUAAAAUGGGGACUCGAUAUACCUAUUUCUUAAAAAACUACAGUGCAGGGGCCGGCCCCAUGGCCUAGUGGUUAAGUUCGUACACUCUGCUUCGGUGGCCCAGGGUUUUGCUGGUUGGGAUCCUGGGUGGGGACCUAGCACCGCUCAUCAAGCCAUGCUGAGGCAGCAUCCCACAUGCCACAACUAGAAUGACUCACGACUAAAAUAUACAACUAUGUACUGGGGGGCUUUGGGGAGAAGAAGGAAAAAAUGUAUACAGAGAGCAGGUUAAAAAAAAAGCCAUAAGCUUUCCUUAAAAAACAAACAAACAGGGGCCCGCCCAGUGGCACAGCGGUUAAAUUUGCAUGUUCUGCUUCAGCUUCUCUGGUUCAGAUCCUGUGUGCGGACCUAUGCACUGCUUAUCAAGCCAUGCUGUGGUAGGUGUCCCACAUAGAAAGUGGAGGAAGAUGGGCACAGAUGUUAGCUCAGGGACAGUCUUCCUCAGCAAAAAGAGGAGGAUUGGCAGCGGAUGUUAGCUCAUGGCUCAUCUGCCUCAAAAAAACCUCCAAACAAACAAAUAAAAGCCUUUGACAAAAGACACUGUGAAGGUGCUGGCCCCAUGGCUGAGUGGUUGAAGUUCUGUGUGCUCCGUUUGGCGGCCAGGGUUUGCAGGUUUGGAUCCCAAGUGCAGAUCUGCUCCACUCAUCAGCCAUGCUGUGGAGGCAUCCCACAUACAAAGUAGAGGAAGAUUGGCACAGAUGUUAGCUCAGGGCUAAUCUUCCUCAAGCAAAAAAAAAAAAAAAAAAAAAGAGAGAGAAUUGGCAAUGGAUGUUAGCUCAGGGUGAAACUUCCUCUCCCAAAAAAGAGACCAAUACACUGUGAAGACAAUGAAAAGGCAGCCAGAGGCUAGGAGAAAAUAGUUGCAAUACAUAUAUUUGACAUAGUAUUUGUAAUCAGAAUAUAUAAAGAAUUUUUUCAACUCAAUAAUAAGACAUCAAAUAGCCCAGUUAAAAAAUGAGCAAGAGUUGGACACUUCACCAAAGAACUUAUGCAAAUGGUCAGUAAGCACAAUACAAGAUGCUCAACACGAUUAAUCAUCAGAGAAUUGCAAAUUAAAACCAUAGUGAGAUACCACUCCACACCCAUUAGAAGGGCUAAAAUCAAAAACACCAACAACGCUUCUGCUGGCUAGGGCAGGAAUCAGUGGGAACCCACACGUGGCACUCGGAAAUGUAUGGGGGCCGGCCCAGUGGCACAGCGGUUAAGUGCACAUGUUCCUCUUUGGCAGCCCCGGGUUCAUUGGUUUGGAUCCCGGGAGCACUCAUGGCACCGUUUGUCAAGCCAUGCUGUGGCAGGCGUCCCACAUAUAAAGUAAAUGAAGAUGGGCACGGAUGUUAGCUGAGGGCCAGUCUUCCUCAGCAAAAAGAGGAGGAUUGGCAGCAGAUGUUAGCUCAGGGCUAAUCUUCCUAAAAAAAAAAAAAAAAAGGAAAUGUAUAAUGGUACAAACCUGAGAAAAGCAGUUUGGCAGUUUUUUAAAAAUAAAAUUAAACAUGUAUCUAUUAUAUGACACAGCAAUUCUACUCUCUACUCCUAAGUAUUUAUUCGGGAAAAAAAUGAAAAUGUGCACAUGAAUCUUGACAGCAGCUUUAUUCCUAAUAG